rnacentral:rRNA from 1 species
UUAUGGAGAGUUUGAUCCUGGCUCAGGAUGAACGCUGGCGGCGUGCCUAAUACAUGCAAGUCGAACGCGAGAGGAGGGAGCUUGCUCCCUCUGAUCGAGUGGCGGACGGGUGAGUAACACGUAGGCAACCUGCCCAUCAGUCCGGGAUAACCGCGGGAAACCGUGGCUAAUACCGGAUGAUCCUCUCCACCGCGGGGUGGGGAGUUGAAAGACGGUUUCGGCUGUCGCUGAUGGAUGGGCCUGCGGCGCAUUAGCUGGUUGGCGGGGUAACGGCCCACCAAGGCAACGAUGCGUAGCCGACCUGAGAGGGUGAUCGGCCACACUGGGACUGAGACACGGCCCAGACUCCUACGGGAGGCAGCAGUAGGGAAUCUUCCGCAAUGGACGCAAGUCUGACGGAGCAACGCCGCGUGAGUGAAGAAGGGUUUCGGCUCGUAAAACUCUGUUGUUAAGGAAGAACGACAGGUAGAGUAACUGCUACCUGUGUGACGGUACUUAACCAGAAAGCCACGGCUAACUACGUGCCAGCAGCCGCGGUAAUACGUAGGUGGCAAGCGUUAUCCGGAAUUAUUGGGCGUAAAGCGCGCGUAGGCGGUCUUUUAAGUCUGAUGUGAAAGCCCCCGGCUCAACCGGGGAGGGUCAUUGGAAACUGGGAGACUUGAGUGCAGAAGAGGAGAGUGGAAUUCCAUGUGUAGCGGUGAAAUGCGCAGAGAUAUGGAGGAACACCAGUGGCGAAGGCGGCUCUCUGGU